CCUGGCUUCAGUGAGCAGGGCCCUUCGCUGAGUUAGCUGGGGCCAGGCCACUCGAAACGUCCGCUCGGCCGUCACGUUAGUCCCGUUCUGUACUCCCAGAUCGUAGAGGCACGACAACCUCAGAGCUAGACUUGUUCCUGGUUACGGUGAGCUUUCCUCCGGGGCCUCAGUCUCCCGGACUCUGCUCGAGGAGGGUGUGCUUGAGCCGGGUUGCACACUCACACUCCCCCCCCGGGGGGCGUCUCCGAGGGGCCGAGAGCGUUCCUAUUCGACGGUCCAACCGAACAGGUAGAUCUUUUUUGGAGUGCACCACCCAAGCCCGCCACCACUUGGAAAACGAGGUUUCUAAAAAGAUUUUUAUACUUCAACGCAGCUCCUUUGGUGGGGGGGGGGAGGGGGGGGUUGGGUGGGUUUUAAGCAGGCCAUGGUUGUGUUGAGGCCGUGCACGGUGGCCAAGCUAGAGAGUCGAGAGCUUUUAUCGCGAAAGGUGCUGGUCGCCCUGGAGGGACUGGGGGCGGGCUGCCCCAAGACGGGCACUUUGGCUUGCGGGCUAUUUUGAGCUGAAGGCCAUCAGACUCUGAGGGCUCCAGAGAAGCUUUUGCCCCGCCCUCUACUACAUGGAAGAAUCUAAAUUGGAGGUCUUUCCAGAAUAAGUGUUCUUGCCAGAGAUAAAUGUUAUCUGAGCGACCCAUCUGUAUGGCGGGGCAAACACCCGAUUCCCAAACAUCUGCUCUUUUUAUCGCCCCGCGAAGUGCAGUGCGAUCCUUCCCUUGAAGUCCCAGAGCCCUACCCCUUCUCCUGAGUUCAGAAUGACACAGAGACCUCAUGUGGUCCACGUUUGGGAUUUCCAUGUCUGCGUGGAUGCCCCGUACGGAUGCCGAUUACGUUUGGUUUUCUCCCGUUGAUCGGGCUCAUGUCAAUUUGGUUCCGAGUCCAGCUCGAAGGACCUCUGAAGAGACAGGAAUUCUUGCUCCCCGACAGCCCUCCCGAAGAAGGCUCUCCGGUCCCUUUUGAGGAACCCCUCCCCCCCGCCAAGUGUAGGAAGGUGAUUGCGGGCCCCUGGUUCUAGAUCCCCAGCAUGUUUGGGAGCAGGUCAGAGAGCUGGGCUUGGCCACUGGGCUCUCACAGGACUCUGGGCCCUGGGCAGGGGAGGACGGGAGGCCUGGGUGGAAGGUGUUGGCAGGGCGCUGACUAGAUUCUUCUGGAAGGCCAGUACCCCUGGCUCCCCUGAUUCUGUGGGCGCCCCUCCCCCAUAUCCUUCUAGUAACUUCCUGUCGCCUUUUCAGAGUUGGCGUCUGCAGCUUGGACCGUAAAGAGCUUUUGCACCCAGUGGAUACAGUGACAGAUCGCGUGGAGGAAGGUCCCAGACCCAAGAUGCCUUCUUAGGGGACCGGUGCCCAAGGGCUUAGCGGGGCCCCGCGCGGCCUCUGCCUUUACUGGAUCUUCAAGUUCCCAGUGAGAUGCCCCUACUCUCGCUCAUCCUUCCUUCCUUUUGCUAAGGAAACCCAGGCACUCACUGCAGGGUAAUGCGUGCGCG
rnacentral:lncRNA from 1 species